AGAGUUUGAUUCUGGCUCAGAACGAACGCUGGCGGCGUGGAUAAGACAUGCAAGUCGAACGAGAGAAUUGCUAGCUUGCUAAUAAUUCUCUAGUGGCGCACGGGUGAGUAACACGUGAGUAACCUGCCCCCGAGAGCGGGAUAGCCCUGGGAAACUGGGAUUAAUACCGCAUAGAAUCGCAAGAUUAAAGCAGCAAUGCGCUUGGGGAUGGGCUCGCGGCCUAUUAGUUAGUUGGUGAGGUAACGGCUCACCAAGGCGAUGACGGGUAGCCGGUCUGAGAGGAUGUCCGGCCACACUGGAACUGAGACACGGUCCAGACACCUACGGGUGGCAGCAGUCGAGAAUCAUUCACAAUGGGGGAAACCCUGAUGGUGCGACGCCGCGUGGGGGAAUGAAGGUCUUCGGAUUGUAAACCCCUGUCAUGUGGGAGCAAAUUAAAAAGAUAGUACCACAAGAGGAAGAGACGGCUAACUCUGUGCCAGCAGCCGCGGUAAUACAGAGGUCUCAAGCGUUGUUCGGAAUCACUGGGCGUAAAGCGUGCGUAGGCUGUUUCGUAAGUCGUGUGUGAAAGGCGCGGGCUCAACCCGCGGACGGCACAUGAUACUGCGAGACUAGAGUAAUGGAGGGGGAACCGGAAUUCUCGGUGUAGCAGUGAAAUGCGUAGAUAUCGAGAGGAACACUCGUGGCGAAGGCGGGUUCCUGGACAUUAACUGACGCUGAGGCACGAAGGCCAGGGGAGCGAAAGGGAUUAGAUACCCCUGUAGUCCUGGCAGUAAACGGUGCACGCUUGGUGUGCGGGGAAUCGACCCCCUGCGUGCCGGAGCUAACGCGUUAAGCGUGCCGCCUGGGGAGUACGGUCGCAAGAUUAAAACUCAAAGAAAUUGACGGGGACCCGCACAAGCGGUGGAGUAUGUGGCUUAAUUCGAUGCAACGCGAAGAACCUUACCUGGG
rnacentral:rRNA from 1 species